rnacentral:rRNA from 1 species
GACGAACGCUGGCGGCGUGCCUAAUACAUGCAAGUUGAGCGAUGAAGAUUGGUGCUUGCACCAAUUUGAAGAGCAGCGAACGGGUGAGUAACGCGUGGGGAAUCUGCCUUUGAGCGGGGGACAACAUUUGGAAACGAAUGCUAAUACCGCAUAACAACUUUAAACAUAAGUUUUAAGUUUGAAAGAUGCAAUUGCAUCACUCAAAGAUGAUCCCGCGUUGUAUUAGCUAGUUGGUGAGGUAAAGGCUCACCAAGGGGAUGAUAUAUAGCCGACCUGAGAGGGUGGUCGGCCACAUUGGGACUGAGACACGGCCCAAACUCCUACGGGAGGCAGCAGUAGGGAAUCUUCGGAAAUGGACGAAAGUCUGACCGAGCAACGCCGCGUGAGGGAAGAAGGUUUUCGGAUCGUAAAACUCUGUUGGUAGAGAAGAACGUUGGGGAGAGUGGAAAGCUCAUCAAGUGACGGUAACUACCCAGAAAGGGACGGCUAACUACGUG